rnacentral:rRNA from 1 species
UACGUAGGGUGCAAGCGUUGUCCGGAAUUAUUGGGCGUAAAGGGCUCGUAGGCGGUCCAUCGCGUCGGGAGUGAAAAGCUGGGGCUCAACCCCAGUCCUGCUUCCGAUACGGGUGGACUAGAGGUAUGCAGGGGAGAACGGAAUUCCUGGUGUAGCGGUGAAAUGCGCAGAGUAUCAGGAAGAACACCCGUGGCGAAGGCGGCUCUCUGGUACGUGACUGACGCUGAGACGCGAAAGCGUGGGGAGCAAACAGG